rnacentral:pre_miRNA from 1 species
AUGUAAGGUAAUCUGUCUGUAAGUAGGUGUAAAAUACACUAAAAGAAAUGAAUCCUAGAUAUUCUUUCCCUUCAAGUCAAAUGUCUUGU